rnacentral:rRNA from 1 species
UACGUAGGUGGCGAGCGUUGUCCGGAUUUACUGGGCGUAAAGGGCGCGCAGGCGGUAUAUCAAGUCAGCUGUCAAAGACUGGGGCUCAACCCUGGUAUGCGGUUGAAACUGAUAUGCUGGAGUGCUGUAGAGGCAAGUGGAAUUCCCAGUGUAGCGGUGAAAUGCGUAGAUAUUGGGAAGAACACCGGUGGCGAAGGCGACUUGCUGGGCAGCAACUGACGCUGAGGCGCGAAAGCCAGGGGAGCAAACGGGAUUA